AACCUACUCCCUCCGUUCCAAAUUACUUGUCGCUGAAAUGGAUGUAUCUAGAACUAAAAUACAUCUAGAUACAUCCAUACGUGCGACAAGUAAUUCGGAACGGAGGGAGUAUAUA
rnacentral:pre_miRNA from 1 species